AGGAAGUGGAGGGACAGGAAGUGGAGAAUCCAGCAGGGGCCAAUGUUGGACAACACUCCUUUGCCAGCUGUGCUCCCCAUGCAACGGGAUGAGGAGAUUUUAAGCCUCUACCAGAAAAACUCAAAUCUGGAGAUAAUUUAAUUUUUCCUGGGUCUCUGCCAGCCAUCUCCAGAGUUUUGUCAAAUUUUCCACCUACUUCCUCUGUGUGUGGAAACUCAGCCUCCAUUUUAGAACUCCAUUCCCAACAGUGGUUCUGCACCCCCACCCAUGUUUUUUUGUUUGUUUGUUUGUUUGUUUGUUUUUGGUUAUCCUGGAGGUUUUGUGGAUUAAGAUGUGUGAGAUGAGGGGUUUAUAGGGACUGGCUGGAGGUAUGCCCCCCCUUCCACCCACACACCCACACACACAUACACACGCACACGCUGUUGUGCAGAAGAUGUUUCUUGGGUGGCUGAGCAAAGAAUCAGAUACAAGCAAGGAAACGUGUGGCAUCUGGCUACCAUGAGCUGAAGACAAAGCCUACAUGGGGAAAAGUGCAAAACCAGGAGAAUGGGAGAGAAAUGGAGCCACGCACUGAUGCUGUUGUGAAAC
rnacentral:lncRNA from 1 species